ACGCAAGUGGAAACUUGUAUUGGCCUUCAUUCCUGCCGAGAUGUCAACCGAAAGAACACCUCAUGACCCGCACAUUAUUUUUCGCUAUUUACGGGACCAUGCCUAUCCAGCUCGUUGCAGUCUUUCGAGGAAGCGGUCCAUCCGCCGAGCAGCAAAGAACAAUUUUAAGCUUGAACGCGGUGAACUCAUGUAUCGGCGACUGAAAAAGAAGAUAAACGACGUCCCAGGCACUUACGAUGAUGCUGACCAAGAUGGGGAAUUACACGAAAGUCCUUGGCGCAAGGUCCUUAUGACGCCAAAACAGAUCGAUGACGCGCUUGCGAAUCUCCAUUCGUCGGCCUUAGGGAACCCAUUCUUCCUGAAGAUGUGGAUGAACCUGAGGGAAACGCCGAAGCAGACGAACCCCGACCAAGUGGGAGUGAACAACAUGCAGAGGUCAAUAAGAGAGUUACUAGAAUGCGAGAGUCUAUAGGGCAGAAAGUGCUUAAAAACAUCAAGAAGGCCCAGGGGCGACAAGAAACGCAUUACAACAAGAGGAGGAUCUCUCAAAACGAUAUCCCCGUUGGAACUAAGGUCCUGAAGAAAAAUUUGGUACGAUCGGAUCGAAAAGGGGGAAAAUCUGCGUUACCUUGGCUGGGCCCGUAUGUCAUAAGGAGCAAGACCAAGAGCGGGGGAUACUUGUUAACGAACGAGGAUGGUAUCCACUUGAAAUCCUCAAUAAACGGGGCGAACUUAAAGAUAUGGCAUGAGGGGCCGUCUGAGAAUGAAAAGAAAUAAACUACGUUCCAGUCUUCAUGUCACUGUCAACACAUUAUCAAUACCACAAUAUGUAUCAAUUCUGGUUAAAAACAGAGUGAUUUGAGAGCCCAAUUCAAGAGCAGGGUAUGAUACUAGUAUUUAUGUCAACCCUUGUGAAUACUUGCAUUAAAUACAGAAUCUGGUUAAACAGAAUGACUUGUUGAUUUCUUUAUGUACAUACAUGUACAGUACAAGGCGAAUGAAAUUGUAAAAGCCAUUGCCAUAGAAAAUCGGUAAGCUGCAACACCUCACUGCGAAUGAAAAUUAGGUGCAGGCACUUUGAGUAGAGUAAUGUAUCUUCCUUGAAAAUCUACUGUAGUUUUGCAUAGGACUUGGAAUACUAGUUUGUUCUAGUAAUGGAAGUCCACCUAGGACGGAGAUUACUAGA